AUUGCCCUAGUAACGGCGAGUGAAGCGGCAACAGCUCAAAUUUGAAAUCUGGCUUCGGCCCGAGUUGUAAUUUGCAGAGGAAGCUUUAGGCGCGGCACCUUCUGAGUCCCCUGGAACGGGGCGCCAUAGAGGGUGAGAGCCCCGUAUAGUUGGAUGCCUAGCCUGUGUAAAGCUCCUUCGACGAGUCGAGUAGUUUGGGAAUGCUGCUCAAAAUGGGAGGUAAAUUUCUUCUAAAGCUAAAUACCGGCCAGAGACCGAUAGCGCACAAGUAGAGUGAUCGAAAGAUGAAAAGCACUUUGAAAAGAGGGUUAAAUAGCACGUGAAAUUGUUGAAAGGGAAGCGCUUGUGACCAGACUUGCGCCGGGCGGAUCAUCCGGUGUUCUCACCGGUGCACUCCGCCCGGCUCAGGCCAGCAUCGGUUCUCGCGGGGGGAUAAAGGUCCUGGGAACGUAGCUCCUCCGGGAGUGUUAUAGCCCGGGGCGUAAUGCCCUCGCGGGGACCGAGGUUCGCGCAUCUGCAAGGAUGCUGGCGUAAUGGUCAUCAGCGACCCGUCUUGAAACACGGACC
rnacentral:rRNA from 1 species